rnacentral:rRNA from 1 species
GAUGAACGCUGGCGGCGUGCCUAAUACAUGCAAGUCGAACGAAGAGGGGACGGGUGAGUAACACGUAGAUAAACUACUAUACGACUGGGAUAACGUCGGGAAACCGGAGCUAAACCGGCUACUUAUAGAUGGAUAUACGCUGCAUGUGCUAGUUAGUCAUGUAACGGCUUACCAAGGCAACGAUGCAUAACCGACCUGAGAGGGUGACCAGCCACAAUGGAACUGAGUCCCUGUCCAUACUCCGACGGGAGUCAGCAGUAGGGAAUCGUCCGCAAUGGGCGAAGUCCUGACGGAGCAACGCCGCGGUAUGGAUGAAGGUCUUCGGAUCGUAAUACUCUGUUAUCAGGGAAGCGGUACCUAAUCAGAAAGCCACGGCUAACUACGUGCCAGCAGCCGCGGUAAUAC